UAUAUAUAUAUAUAUAUAUUUAUAUAUGGAUAUACGCUUCCAACACGUACCCGCUUCCUAAUAUUUAAAAAAAUCUCGCUUCUGCGCUUCCUUACGCUUCCGCUUCCACGUACCCGCUUCCGUUUCCAUGUAACAUAGGUAGAAAAUCGGAUCUACGAAUAUAACCGCUUUGAACCGGUUAAGAAAAUAACAUUUCUAAAUGGUACGAGGUUUGGAUCGUGCAAGGAAGGCGAAGCUGUGGAGGUAGAAAGCCAUUGGCUAAUGCAUGACUGCAUGUGACCGUCAAAUCUCUUUGUCCAACAAAUUACGCUUUUUAGUUAUAUUAUUUUGAUUGAGUAGGAUGUAUUAUUAGUGUUGUCGCAUCACUAGUUGAUUUAAUUAUAAUGUUAUAUAUUCGUGAUAUAAAGAAAUUAUGUGUUUGAUCAAAAAAGAAAAUACAGAAAAUUUUACGUUAGUCACCAAUAUUUUGCUUUGUAGUAAUAUCGUAUGUACAUAAAUCCAGUUUCAGAAAUUGAAAGAAAAGGAAAGAAAAAAAAUAAAGAGACAGUAGAAAAGAAGCGAUAGAGAAAUCAUCAUCUAGAAACCGAAAAAGGGGAAAACAAAAAAAAGAACGGUUAGCUUUGCUGCAAGUUUCGAUCUAAAAGCUUCGCUUUAAAUGGAAAGUCCUGAUAUCAUGCGCAUUGAGAUAUUGCAUACAAUCAUGCUUUUUCCUUUCUCCCAAAAUUACUAUUCAUUCAUUUGUAAAUCCAUUUCUCAUAAUAUGAUACAAAAAGAAUAUCAUAAGUGGGAUAUAUAUGAACCAGUGAUCUGCCAAUAAUCAAAAUUGCAGAUAUAUAUCCCACUUAAUCCCUUUGGAAAAAAAAAACUUAUGGAAGUGGAGAAAUGAAGGAUCUGGUAUAUAUAAAGAAAUUAUUCUCUGUGUGAAAGAAAAAAAAAAAAGAAAUUAUUCUCUAUUGUGGCGGAAGUAUCUUUAUUACAUAGUCUAGUUGUAAGCAACUAUAAGCUCAUAGAAGAAAAAAAAACUAUAAGCUUAUACGACCAAAAAAAAAUUAUGCUAUGAUUUAGGUUUGAGACCAAAUUCAAAAAAAUAAUUAAUGAGAUUCAUGUCCUCAAUUUGAGGUGGAAGAGACUCACACGCUUUUUCCAAACAAUCAUAGUAGUACAUUGAACCAAAGACAUCAUUUAUAUAUGUAUGGUUAAUCGAGUUUUUAUAUAUUUUUAGUCAUUUGGGUAAUCUCUACGUACGUAUGUAGGGUUGAAACUUUUUAAGAGCAUUAAGGGUAUAGAAAAACAAUACAUACUAAAGACAAGAAGAAUC
rnacentral:lncRNA from 1 species